UGGUCCAGACUUUGAUUAUGGCUCGGGAUGAACGCUAGCGACAGGCUUAACACAUGCAAGUCGAGGGGCAGCGGGGAAGUGCUUGCACUUCCGCCGGCGACCGGCGCACGGGUGAGUAACACGUAUGGAACCUGCCCGCAGCAGGGGGAUAAGCGGAAGAAAUUCCGUCUAAUACCGCGUACCGACACUAAGGGGCAUCCCUUUGUGUCAAAAGAUUUAUCGGCUGCGGAUGGCCAUGCGGCGCGUUAGCUAGUCGGCGGGGUAACGGCCCACCGAGGCGACGAUGCGUAGGGGUUCUGAGAGGAAGGUCCCCCACACUGGUACUGAGACACGGACCAGACUCCUACGGGAGGCAGCAGUGAGGAAUAUUGGUCAAUGGCCGAGAGGCUGAACCAGCCAAGUCGCGUGAGGGAAGACGGCCCUACGGGUUGUAAACCUCUUUUGUCGGGGAGCAAAGGCGGUCACGCGUGACCGGAUGAGAGUACCCGAAGAAAAAGCAUCGGCUAACUCCGUGCCAGCAGCCGCGGUAAUACGGAGGAUGCGAGCGUUAUCCGGAUUUAUUGGGUUUAAAGGGUGCGCAGGCGGAACUGCAAGUCAGCGGUCAAAAUGCGGGGCUCAACCCCGUCGAGCCGUUGAAACUGCGGUCCUUGAGUGCGCGAGAAGUAUGCGGAAUGCGUGGUGUAGCGGUGAAAUGCAUAGAUAUCACGCAGAACUCCGAUUGCGAAGGCGGCAUACCGGCGCGCAACUGACGCUCAUGCACGAAAGCGUGGGUAUCGAACAGGAUUAGAUACCCUGGUAGUCCACGCAGUAAACGAUGAGCACUAACUGUCCGGGCCGAAUGAGGCCUGGGUGGUACAGCGAAAGCGUUAAGUGCUCCACCUGGGGAGUACGCCGGCAACGGUGCAACUCAAAUGAAUUGACGGA
rnacentral:rRNA from 1 species